rnacentral:rRNA from 1 species
CAGCCAGACUCCUACGGGAGGCAGCAGUGGGGAAUAUUGCACAAUGGGGGAAACCCUGAUGCAGCGACGCCGCGUGAGCGAUGAAGUAUUUCGGUAUGUAAAGCUCUAUCAGCAGGGAAGAAAAUGACGGUACCUGACUAAGAAGCCCCGGCUAACUACGUGCCAGCAGCCGCGGUAAUACGUAGGGGGCAAGCGUUAUCCGGAUUUACUGGGUGUAAAGGGAGCGUAGACGGUCCUGCAAGCCAGAUGUGAAAGCCCGGGGCUCAACCCCGGGACUGCAUUUGGAACUGUAAGGCUAGAGUGCGGGAGGGGCAGGCGGAAUUCCUGGUGUAGCGGUGAAAUGCGUAGAUAUCAGGAGGAACACCGGCGGCGAAGGCGGCCUGCUGGACCGCGACUGACGUUGAGGCUCGAAAGCGUGGGGAGCGAACAGGAUUAGAUACCCCCGUA